rnacentral:misc_RNA from 1 species
GAUGAAGAACGUAGCGAAAUGCGAUAAGUAGUGUGAAUUGCAGAAUUCAGUGAAUCAUCGAAUCUUUGAACGCACAUUGCGCCCCUUGGUAUCCCGAGGGGCAUGCCUGUUCGAGCGUCAUUUCACCACUCAAGCCUGGCUUGGUGUUGGGCGACGUCCUCUUUGGGGACGCGCCUCGGAACGCUCGGCGGCGUGGCACCGGCUUUAAGCGUAGCAGAAUCUUUCGCUUUGGAAGUCGGGGCCCCGUCUGCCGGAAGACCUGCUCGCAAGGUUGACCUCGGAUCAGGCAGGGAUACCCGCUGAACUUAAGCAUAUCAAUAAGCGGAGGA